UCGAUUUUACCUUCUGUUUUUCCCCCGCGCCUAGCCCUUUUUCCUUAUUACUCUAAAUCGUCUCUUAAAUAUCCUCGACCCUUCGAACCCUAACCCCUUCGGCGAGUCACAAGGCAAUCCGUCAAGGCUCCAGCAAAGGCUACCAAAUUGCUUCUCCAGUAUAUAUCUUCUAGCUCAUGCAUACCCUAGGGUAAGUAAUUUAACGAUAUAGACAAAGAUUUAGCAUUUGGCUCCUAUGUAUUCUUACUAGUUGAUGUGAGACCACAAAGUUCUUUGUGCUUGGGUAAGUUAUCAAUCNNNNNNNNNNNNNNNNNNNNNNNNNNNNNNNNNNNNNNNNNNNNNNNNNNNNNNNNNNNNNNNNNNNNNNNNNNNNNNNNNNNNNNNNNNNNNNNNNNNNNNNNNNNNNNNNNNNNNNNNNNNNNNNNNNNNNNNNNNNNNNNNNNNNNNNNNNNNNNNNNNNNNNNNNNNNNNNNNNNNNAAGAAUCCAAGUAUAUCAUCUUAUUAGGGUUUCCCGAUAUAUACUCCAAGCGAAGUCAUACACUUUAUUUGCAAGUUUGUAUGCUUGAUUGAAGUUCACUCUUGAGCUUUUAGAAUUUAUUGUAUUAUUUCUGCUUUGCUACUACAGUUUGAGCUGUUUUAAUAUACCGAAGUUGUAGAGUAAUUGGUUAUAGUUUCAAGGCUUAAUUAAUGGCAAUACCCAGGGGUAAAAUAUUAGUAGCCCGUUGAAUUGAAUAUUCUAGAAUUUUUAGGGGAAAUCUGUGUCGUAUGUGCUUUAAACAAUGUUAGAAUAUCUGUGCUCAGAAGAUGUUUGAAAAUAUUUCACAAUAAACACCUUUGAGUGUCCCAAACAAAUAUAGACGCAAUUGACUGAAAAGGCUAAUUGUAUAUCAGCAUGAUAAUUUAUUUUUUUAAAACUUAUUUUAUUGAUCUUUUUGUCUAGUCAUACGUAUGAUCAAAACAUAAAAAUAUAAUUUUUAGAAUCGGGAAGAUUCCACUUCGAUAAUAAUGAUUGUUUAAACUAAUAAUGGUGCUUAACAUUGUAACAUGAACUUUCAAAUAUCUUACUGGUAUUAGUUUUUGAAAGAAACCACUUAAUGUAUUUAGUUACUUUUGAUUAAUAUUUAUUUAUUGAUCAUCCUGGUUAGCCAAUUUUAUAUACGGUGUGAGAAUAUUUAAAAGAAAUAUCUUGUAUACCUUAUAAUAGUAUUUUUGUGGCAUCUGCAAUGACUUACUUUUGGUAGAUUGCAUGUAAAAGAAGAUGUUGUUUGGAUUUGGAUAAUAAGAUGGUGCUAUUCUGCUUUCUUAAAGUGAGUAAUGAUUUUAUUCUGUAUAGGAAAAUAGUUCCUCGAAUUUUGUUUGAAUUAAGAUUGCCUUCUCUCAUUUGUAUAUCAACUGGAAGAGAUAAAUAUUUAUGCAUUGCACAAACAAGCAUCAACUUAACAAUUAAUCUGGUAGAUAUAGCAAUGAUAGGGUUUAGUAGUUGUCGUUUAUGAGGAAGAAGUUUCAAAACUUACUGUGUUGUAAAGGAAUAUGAUAGUAUGGCUCAGCUAUUAAAUUUUAGUCUUCUCCACUUCUUACAAUCUAUGUCCUAGCUCCCAGCUUCUGAUGCUUUCUUCAGUUAUCUUUCUGUGCCACUGUUGAUGACUAUGGUCUUAUUAAUUUGUCCAUUUCACUUUUAUUACUUAGUUCUAAACUGAUUUCCUGCGAAAAGCUCUGAUUUAAUUAUUUAUGAGCUCUUUGAAGAAAUCUAUCAACUGGCUUGUUUGUGAAUCUUCAUGACACUAUUAAGAAAGUUUUAUAAAAUCGGACUUGUUUUCUUGAAGAACUUCCUUUAAGACAUGUUCCAAGUUACAGUAAGAUAUCUGUUUGAGUUAAUUAUAUAAAAGACAUUUGUAUAUGGUAAUCACUUACUCUUUUAUAAAUUGAAGCAAUAUCCUUUUGCAAGUCUUUUUUCUUGCUUUGUAGUCACACACUAUUACCCGAUUUACUUUGGUUUACUUUUCACUAUACAUUAAGGUAACAGUGAGGCAACAAUUGCAUUAGUAAAUGAUGGCAUUUAUUUGGAGAAGUACGUCCAAGAUCCUAUGCAUAUUGAAUUUCAGGUAUUGUUGUACCUUAUUUCAUUUGCCAAUAAAUUUGACGCCUCAUGGAUGUUGGACAUUACUUCUUACUAGUGCUCAUGGGCUGUUGUUUAUGGCUUUUUAUACAUACGAAUGUCUAAGUUGUAGAUUUAUGUUUUUCUUUAUUGACACAUUUACAUAUUUAUUUUUCUUCCAAUACUAGAACUGUAAUGAGCCUUCAAAUAUUGCAUUCUUGCUAAUAUUUAGGUGCAGAAAUGUCUACAUAAAGUCUCUCAUUUUAUACAGAAGAUAAAGCUUGCAAUGAUAUCAUGACCGACUCAAUUUUAGAUCAUCUUUUAAUUUUGAGGGGCCUAAUUAGUGGUUUUCUUUUUUCUUUUCUUUUUUUCCCCUAUUGCAGGAAUCUCCAAACUUUAGCUCAAAUGGUAGAAAAAAAAUACUGUAAGUAGUACUAAACUAAGUGCUGAAAUAUUCAUUAAGAUUUUGAUGUCACGGGAACUAAUAUAAUAGGGUUUGUUAUUUGAUCAAGUAGAUAAGGUUGUUUAUUUACGUUCUAAUAAUAUUCAAAGUUGUUAUUCAAUCUGUUAGAAUGAAUAAUUCCAAGUUAUCCUGAUCAACAUAUGCUAGAUUAUUGAAAAUUUUGAGACCUGGAGAUGUCUAUUUCACAAUUUAAAGGAGCUUGUAGUAGUGUCUUAAAUUUUUUAUAAGGGAAUGAGCAUGGUGUUUGAAAACCUAUGUUUCAUUAUACUCAUUAUGCUUUAGGUGAUUUGCUUAGUUAGAACCCAAGAUUUAUAUAUAUGACAUUAGCUCAAGUCUAGGUAGAAUUCUGCUUGAAAUGGUGUUCUAGAGUGCAAGUGAAAGAAAAAGCUGAAACUGUCUUUUCAUAGUGUACUAAGUUUUGGGUUUGAACACUGGAAUCUUAUUUCAUUACCUACACUAAGAAAUUUCAUAAAUGAAUUGGCUUUUUGAUUAGAAAAUGUGUGAAGUUGGGUAUGAAACUACUAACUAUCUGAGUUCUUUUAUAUUAGUAUUCUUUCUAUUGUUAGAUUUAUAUUAAUAUUCUUUCUAUUGUUAGAUUUACAUUAAUAUUCUUUCUAUUGUUAGCUUUUUAUGUCUAAUGAGUGUCUUGACUUGUACCUCAUAACUACUCCAUCGAGGUUAGUCUUGAUACAUACUGGGUACCGUUGCGGUGUACUCAUUAUGCUUCUUCAUAUUUUUAUGCAAAUCUAGGUACCUCGGAGCGUGCCGAACGUUAGAUAGCUGUUUGAGUUGCUGAGGAGACUUUAAGGUAUACCUGUCAUUCCGCUCGCAAGCGUCGGAGUCACCUUCUGUUGUCUUUCAUUAAUACUGUCAUUUGAAUUCCAGAACAGUGAUAUAUUCAUAUAUUUGUAGUGUGUUUCAGUAGAGCUUAUGACUUUGUACUACCGGUUUUGGGGUUGUAUGACUAUUGUUCGGUUUCAGCUUGUAACGACCUGAUCGGUCGUUUUGAGAAUUCACGUCUUAUUCGGUGGCGUAAGGUCUCGAGCAACUUCGUAUUAUGUGUUAUGACUUGCGUGUAUUACCGAGUUCAGUUUUUGGAUGGUUCGGGAUCAAUUUGGAAAAAAGAUUCAUGUUUUAGAAGCUUAAGCGGUAAGAGUUGACUGGAUUUUUGACUUUUAUGUAGAUGACUCAGAAAUGGUAUUUUGAUGGUUCUAACAGCUUCGUAUGGUAAUUUUGGACUUAGGCGUGCGCUCGAAUUUGGAUUUGAAGGUCCGCAUGGUAAUUUGAAGCAUUUCUGCGAAAAUUCGAAAGUUGAAGUUUUGGAAAGUUGAGAGGUUUGACCGAGAGUUGACUUUGGUGGUAUCGGAGUCGAAAUGUGAUUUUGAGAGUUGGAUUAGCUCUGUUAUGUCACUUGGGACUUGCAUGCAAAAUUCGACUUCAUUCUGGGUUGAUUUGAUAUGUUUCGGCACGAGUUUUGGAAGUUGGAAGAUUUGAAAGUUUAUAAGUUCGAUUCGAGAUGCGAUUCGUAGUUUCGACGUUGGUUGAUGUGAUUUGAGACUUCGAGUAGGUCCGCGUUAUGUUAUGAAACUAGUUGGUAUGUUUGAACGGGGUCCCAGAGGCCCCGAGCGUGUUUCAGAUGGGCUACGAGCCAUUUUUUUAUGUUUUGGAAUGCUGCAUUUCUGGUGUUUGGUGUCCUUCUCUGCGAUCGCGUAGUUGUAGCCGCGAUCGCGAAGGCUGUUUGGUGGGCUGGUCCUUUUUCCUCCUCGCGUUCGCAAGGAUCAGUACGCGAUCACGUUCGUAUGUGCUUCUUUGCGUUCGCUUUAGGCCUUCCGCGUGCGCGUAGUGUUGACCCUGCUGGGGAGGCCGACACUUUGUUCUUCGCAUUCGCAUAACUAUGUGCGCGAUCGCGUAGUACCUCUUCGUGGGGCAGUGUCAUUUCUUCUUCGCGAUCGCGUAAUGCAUUUUUGUGGCAGUCAUUGUUUCUUCUUUGCGAUCGCAUGUGUAUUUCCGCGAUCGCGGUGUGCAAAUACCUGGGCAGCAGAAUAUAUUUUCCAAAAUUGAGGGAUUGGCCAUUUUUAUCAUAUCUUGAGUUGUAGACCUCAGAUUUGAGCGAGUUUUCGUGGGUUUUUCAAGCAAAUCAUUGGUGUAAGUGUUUUUCACCCGGA
rnacentral:lncRNA from 1 species